rnacentral:rRNA from 1 species
GAUGAACGCUGGCGGCGUGCUUAACACAUGCAAGUCGAACGAUGAAGCCCAGCUUGCUGGGUGGAUUAGUGUCGAACGGGUGAGUAACACGUGAGUAACCUGCCCUUAACUCUGGGAUAAGCCUGGGAAACUGGGUCUAAUACCGGAUAGGAGCGUCCACCGCAUGGUGGGUGUUGGAAAGAUUUAUCGGUUUUGGAUGGACUCGCGGCCUAUCAGCUUGUUGGUGAGGUAAUGGCUCACCAAGGCGACGACGGGUAGCCGGCCUGAGAGGGUGACCGGCCACACUAGGACUGAGACACGGCCCAGACUCCUACGGGAGGCAGCAGUGGGGAAUAUUGCACAAUGGGAGCAAGCCUGAUGCAGCGACGCCGCGUGAGGGAUGACGGCAUUCGGGUUGUAAACCUCUUUCAGUAGGGAAGAAGCGAAAGUGACGGUACCUGAAGAAGAAGCACCGGCUAACUACGUG